rnacentral:rRNA from 1 species
GUCUAUGGCCAUGCCACCCUGAACAAGCCCGAUCUCCAAGUCUGAUCUUGGAAGCUAAGCAGGGUUGGGCCUGGUUAGUACCUGGAGACCACCUAGGAGACCACCUAGGAAGACCAGGUGCUAUAGGUG